rnacentral:lncRNA from 1 species
CAGCUGGGUGCCGUGAAGGCAUAAAACUGGGAAUGUGUAGGUAGAGGCUUCCCCAGAGGGUGGGGCUGAGGGGGGAGGAAAGAGAGCGUUGGUGGGAGAGGAAGAGAAAGGAACACCUCAAAGAGGAAACAGGACUUAUCCAGAGAGCUUCUCGAAGCUGUGAAGGACAUUUUAGCAGUUCAAGGAGGAGGAGUUGAUGAAAUUUGUAUUUCUAAGAGAUCAUUUUCUCCCAAGAGUGAUGUAUGGAAGCUGGCUGGGACUGACAAGAGCCCUUGCUGUCUUCAGAAGUGAUGGAGGCACCCACAGCUGACAGGCUUAGACACUAACCUGCUUUUCAGGGUGGGAUGAAGGAAGCCCCCCAUAUAUUCCUGGUGCCUGAGGAAGCCAGAAGAGGGUGUUGGAGUCCCUGGGACUGGAAAUACAGGUGGUUGUAAACCUUCAUGCACGACGUUGGUGAUAGCAUCUCAGAGCCAGGAAUUGCUUCCCUGUGGGCCUGGGCUGGCACUUCUGGAUGCUACUUAUGCUGAAGCCAAGCCCAUGGGGACACCCCACUGUUGCCCAAGUGGCUCUCACAGGCAGAUCUAAAGGAGGUAUGUCUAAAUCUCCAGGUCUGGAUGAAGAUGGAAGCUACAUCAUGUUCAAGUUCCAGCAGCCGUCCCAUUCUGGCUUUGAGGAACUCCGAGAACUUGCAGCUCAUGGACAAUCGGUAGCCUUCGACUUGAAGAAACUCCCAAGCCGGGGAGCAGACAGCAAUCUCGCCCCAAGGGAGCUUCUGGUUUGAUAGUGGAGACGCUGAAAACACUAGCCUAAAGGGGACUCCUCGCUCCUCUUGCCACAUACACAGAUGGCAAUGCACAUCCACGGAGCUCCUGCCCACUGAGCAGGAAGGAUGAAGAGAGGCUCCUCUAAACACAGAAUGCCCUGAACCACCAUGGUACCACAAACCAUUCCUGGAGACAUCAUCUCAUCUCAGCCCCAGCCUUUCCCUCCCCUGGACUGACCUUGAGGCCAUCUAGGUAAAGCGAUGCCCUUAUCUCUAGGCAACCAUAUCCUGGAAGAAACCACCUGGACCACGGGACACUUUUGUGCCUCUGAGAUCGGAAGUGGAAUGAAGGAGGCCUAUUCGGAAAGCGACCUGUGGCCUGGGGAGAUGGUUUCAUGGGUAAAAUGUCCACUGGGCAAGCACAAGGAGCUGGGGUCAGAUGCCCAGCACUCGCAGGGGAUAGAGGCAGAUGAAUCUCCAGGACUUAGUGGCCAGCCUGGCCAAAGCAGGGUGCUUCAGGUUCAAUGAGAGACCUUGUUUCACAAACACGUAUUUCUGUGCUAUGUGUCAUCCUAAGAUGCCUCUAACAUCACGCCAUAAAAGUGUGCUUUCCUUGGGAAUGUGCAAAGAUCUUUACUAAUAAGAAUUGAGUUUGCUUUUGAAAAAAUAAAUGGAU